GACGAACGCUGGCGGCGUGCUUAACACAUGCAAGUCGAACGGAAAGGCCCUGCUUUUGUGGGGUGCUCGAGUGGCGAACGGGUGAGUAACACGUGAGUAACCUGCCCUUGACUUUGGGAUAACUUCAGGAAACUGGGGCUAAUACCGGAUAGGAGCUCCUGCUGCAUGGUGGGGGUUGGAAAGUUUCGGCGGUUGGGGAUGGACUCGCGGCUUAUCAGCUUGUUGGUGGGGUAGUGGCUUACCAAGGCUUUGACGGGUAGCCGGCCUGAGAGGGUGACCGGCCACAUUGGGACUGAGAUACGGACCAGACUCCUACCGGAGGCAGCAGUGGGGAAUAUUGCAGAAUGGGCGGAAGCCUGAUGCAGCAACGCCGCGUGCGGGAUGACGGCCUUCGGGUUGUAAACCGCUUUCGCCUGUGACGAAGCGUGAGUGACGGUAAUGGGUAAAGAAGCACCGGCUAACUACGUG
rnacentral:rRNA from 1 species